UAAUAGUUAAUUAUACAUAUACAGUAGACCCGCGGUAAUCCGGUCCCUGUCUAAUCCGACACCCCUUGUAAUU